GCAGCUUGGUUCAAUGGAGAAUGCUAGAUUUGGAAUCAGGGAUCCUGGGUUCAAACCCAGACUCUGUU
rnacentral:tRNA from 1 species